UUAGAAUGUUACUGUGAAUGACCAUUCAUUUGUUCAAUUUUCUAAUAAACGUUGGAAUUCAGUAGAGCUGCAAGUUUCAAACGUGUACACAGACAGUGAAAUGUGUGAGGUUGAAAUUAAAAGUGUUCAGGAAGAUCUAUGCUGCGAGGAUUUACUUAAGAAGCCUGUUUUUAACAGUUC
rnacentral:lncRNA from 1 species